GACGAACGCUGGCGGCGUGCUUAACACAUGCAAGUCGAACGGAAAGGCCCUGCUUUUGUGUGGUGCUCGAUUGGCGAACGGGUGAGUAACACGUGAGUAACCUGCCCUUGACUUUGGGAUAACUUCAGGAAACUGGGGCUAAUACCGGAUAGGAGCUCCUGCUGCAUGGUGGUGGUUGGAAAGUUUCGGCGGUUGGGGAUGGACUCGCGGCUUAUCAGCUUGUUGGUGGGGUAGUGGCUUACCAAGGCUUUGACGGGUAGCCGGCCUGAGAGGGUGACCGGCCACAUUGGGACUGAGAUACGGCGCAGACUGCUACGGGAGGCAGCAGUGGAGAGUAUUGCACAAUGGGCGGAAGCCUGAUGCAGCAACGCCGCGUGCGUGAUGACGGGCUUCGGGUUGUAAACCGCUUUCGCAUGUGACGAAGAGAGAGUGACGGUAAUGGGUAAAGAAGCACCGGCUAACUACGUG
rnacentral:rRNA from 1 species